UUUUUUUUUAUUUCCAUGUGACUUUUUACUAAUUAAUUUUGCUCUGCAAGCCAAUCCUCAUGAGUAAUUGUUACUAAUGAGUCACAACUUCAUGAGGCCAUCAUCAUAACUUAUGAUUCUGGGUGUUGUUUAAUUUGCAGAUUUCUAUAGCAGAAAGGUGGUAAUUGGCAACUCCCAUAAUCACUACAUCCAUAAACUACUGCUUAUGGGACAGUAGCAGAACUACUGUACGUUAACUAAGCUUUUGUGGGGUACCUGAAUGUGCCAUCAGGAACUGACUACAUGAGUACUGUUUUUAUCCUUAGCUGAAGCUAAGUUUCCAGAAACAAAGCUUUAAUCUGCAUCUGUAUAACUACCUCUAUCGGGAUCUUUUUUUUUUUUUUUGCCGAGAUAUCUAUCUAUCUAUCUAUGAGAGUCCUUGCACUCAAGCUGUUUUAUUUCAAUGCCGGGUGCCAAAGCCUGGGCUCACGUAGAUAAAAAUGUUCAAGAUGAGGCUGCACUCAUGGUCUUUAUAAAAUCCAAAGAUACUUUAUUUAAAAUGUUUCAAAAAAGAUCUACGUUUUAGUCCCCAUAUGGGACUUUCUUCAGGAUCAACAAAACAGUGUAACUAAAGUUGCA